AGGUAUGUGGGUAAAUCAAAGCAGAGACCUUUUCUUUUACUUAAAGAUGUAUGUUAAAUGUUUAUUGUCUGCACCUUGGGUCUGAGUGAAAAGCAAUUUCGAUCCUCUGUAUGUCUUGUACAUACUGCAGAAUUGACAAAUAAAGUGACUUUGA